CUGUGAGGCCAACCUCCUAGCAUGAAAUGGAUCCAUGUAAGAGGCUCAGCAUGCUAUUACCCCAUAUUAUUAACAUAUAAUAUGCCAUGUGCAGCAAUGAGACUCCUUAAAGGGAUCAGGUUCUGAAUUAAUGUAUCAUCUGUACUUGGAUUAUCAGCAUCAAAUGCAACUCUUCGUGUAUUGGUUAUUCCAACAGCUAUUAGAAGAAUGAAGAUUAUAUCACAGAAAACCUUUAGGGAGAAAGUGGGGAAAUAAAAACAGUUUCUAUCAACUGCAGAAUUUGUGCUUGCCUAUCAACAAUGCACAUUUACUUCCAGUACGACUUCCCUGUAUUUUUCAUGUUAUGUUUUAAAAGUUAGCAUUCACCAACAGGAAGAAAUUCUGCAACAGAACUCAGAACCAAAAUUAGAGCUCACAGAGGAAAGCAAAAUGGCACGAACACAGACCUAACUAACAGAGCUCGCUUUCUGCCCCCAUCCUGCUGCUAGAAACCAGACACUAUGUUAGGCACAGUGAGGCAAGCCUAGGAAGGCUCCAAUCACAGAUCCAUGAUCUAUGACUGUGCAUUUCUGAUUCGGUUCUUGAGAUGCAGAUGCUGAAGCUACUGUACCAUCUGCCAAGAGCAACGGCUGCUCCACGAGACCUUCACUCCUCGCAAAUCUCACUUAAAAGACCCACCUCUAACUUGGUAUUUUACACUCAAUGUUAAUAUUUAAGUAUACACGGCACUGCGGUGCAAUAUAAAUGCUUGUCAAAAAUAAGAUCCUUGAAAGCAUACACUAUUUCCUUUUUUCCUCUUGCAGUGUCAAGCAAUUAACAGGUAUUAAAUAACCACUGACUAGUCAACUACAAAAAAGAGGGAUGUGAGCAAGAAUACUAGCAAGAACAAGUAUCUGUUACCAUGUCUUCCCACCCACCCAACUGUGGAGGAAAAAACUCCCUCCUCUCAAAUCAAGGCAGGCUGCUUACAAGGAGCACCACGUGAAAGGGAAAAAUGGCCACUCUACGCAAUAUGCCUAUUUUGAUGUGAAGGGCUGGUCUGUCGUUAGCACUUCCCAAUCAGUAGCACUCACAAAUAGGUCUAAACUUGGAAAAUUAAAAAAAAAAAAAAAAAAAAAAAAACUCCCUAUCAAACAAUGAGAAUCAAGAGUAAAAAAGAAAUAGCAGUUUGCUAAAAAAGAGACUAAAAUACAUCAGGGCCUUAGAAGAGUUAUUUCUGCAUUCCCUGCACAUACGACAUCAUUCAUGAAGAAGGCAAUGGUACAAAUAUAGCAUAAAUGUCGUCUGCUCUAGCUUGUAAUUUAAAAUGCAAAUGCUAAUGAGCGAACUGGUAUAUCAGUGGAGUUAAUAACCGCAUGCCUAGCACAGGGGCUGCAUCCAAAACACACACAGAGAAGAGACAGACACCAUGUUCCAAUUUAAAAAUAAAAACACCCAAAUUAACCCUAGAAAAAUCACUAGCAGAUGUACAAGCUCAGGAAAAGGAGGCACACAAGGGCAGGGAAAUGGGAACUUCUCCACCAGCCGCAGACUAACCAGUCAAUUUAAAUAUUUUCCUACAUAUAGUAAAGGUAAGCAUAGGAGUUACGAGGGUUUACUGAGGAAUGCUAUUGUAAAAGCAUUCCAGAGUAUAAUAAGUAUAAUAAGGAAAAGCUACAGGGAAUCCAGAAAGCUUGAAUAGAAAGUUUUCUCCAAAGCCGACUUUAGAAGCCUAUAAGCUAAUCUUGCAGGGAGCCAAAUGAGAUGUAGAUCUCAUUUACUUCAUCAUAGGCAAAGGGUGAAGAAGCUUUGGUUAAAAAAAGCCCAAAAACUUACAAGGUCUAGAUUUAAAGGGUCAUUUAAGUAAAUUGGAAAAAGCUCUAAUGAUGAAAUAAAAUGAUGGAGAGAAUGCAAUUGUGUCUCAAAUGCCUUCCAAACAUGAAAGGAACUUCUGUGGAUUGUUCUUGCUCCUCAUAGGCUGGUGCUUGGCAGCCCUGCAGCAGAAUGUGGGAACACUCCACAGCACUGAGAUGAAGAGCAGCUCCUUGGGCUUCCUCAGAGCCCCCCACGCAUGGGCAACGAGGAAGUGCAUUGUGUGGUUAGUGGCCCUGUCCAGCGCCAGGACUGAAACUACGACGCCUCCUCAAGGCCAGCAGGAGAGUGAGCUUGCACAUGCUGCCCACAUUGGACACCUAGUGUCUUCUAGUUCCCAUGUUAGUGCUAUUCAUUCAAAUUCCACACAAAGAGCCAGGCCCAAACUCUAACAGAUCCAGCCCAUCUGACUGGUGAAGCCUCAGGAAAACUUUUGAAAGAAACUCAAGGCAGUUCUUCCUGAGAUCUGAUAUAGGUCAACUUCUUCUGCCCAGAUAAAUCAAACCCAACCUGCCCAAAGAAAAUGCAGCAGGCCUUCUUGGAAAUUCAAAUGCCAUCGCCCGGAGGAAAACUUUUCCAUUCAACAAUUGUUAUUUGCUCUGUAUUCUUAUACUAUGUGGCCUGUGCUUUUGAUAACUGCUCUUUUGUAUUUCCUUGUUUACAUUUUUUUGUAUGGCCAUCUACACAACUAGACUCAAAGAUAUUUGAGGGAGAAGUUAUCCUACUAAUUUAUGUAUCAUCCAAAAUUUAACUACUGAAGACUACCUUUCUUAAUCUGUGCUUGUAAAAAUCUUGGACUUAUUAAAAAACACUCCCCAAA